ACGGAUUGGACCAUUCUGAGACUGGUAUGGAGGGAAUGUAUCAUGCCUAUGAGAGCCCCAUGUCCUAUCAGUUCGGCUCUCAUUUGACACCAACCGAUCCAACCUUGAGCUUGACUUCUCAGCUUGGCUGCGACUGUGGCUACGUCCAGAAGCUCGAGGCUUUGAAUUAAACAGUUCCCGUCCCUCUCACCAUGAUAGGAACUUCUAUCAUAACUGUAAUUUCCCCUUCUGUUAUUUGUAGAAUGACGGUCCCGAACAGAUAC
rnacentral:misc_RNA from 1 species